UACGGAGGGGGGCUAGCGUUGUUCGGAAUUACUGGGCGUAAAGCGCACGUAGGCGGCUUUGUAAGUUAGAGGUGAAAGCCCGGGGCUCAACUCCGGAAUUGCCUUUAAGACUGCAUCGCUAGAAUUGUGGAGAGGUAAGUGGAAUUCCGAGUGUAGAGGUGAAAUUCGUAGAGAUCGGGAGGAACAUCAGUGGCGAAGGCGGCCAUCUGGGACAACACUGACGCUGAGGCACGAAAGCGUGGGGGAGCAAACAGG
rnacentral:rRNA from 1 species